rnacentral:rRNA from 1 species
AUUGAACGCUGGCGGCAUGCCUUACACAUGCAAGUCGAACGGUAACAGGUCUUCGGAUGCUGACGAGUGGCGAACGGGUGAGUAAUACAUCGGAACGUGCCCGAUCGCGGGGGAUAACGAAGCGAAAGCUUUGCUAAUACCGCAUACGAUCUACGGAUGAAAGCAGGGGACCGCAAGGCCUUGCGCGAACGGAGCGGCCGAUGGCAGAUUAGGUAGUUGGUGGGAUAAAAGCUUACCAAGUCGACGAUGUGUAGCUGAUCUGAGAGGAGGACCAGCCACACUGGAACUGAGACACGGCCCAGACUCCUACGGGAGGCAGCAGUGGGGAAUUUUGGGCAAUGGGCGAAAGCCUGAUCCAGUCAUGCCGCGUGCAGGAUGAAGGCCUUCGGGUUGUAAACUGCUUUUAUACGGAACGAAAAGACUCUGAUUAAUACCUGGGGUCCAUGACGGUACCGUAAGAAUAAGCACCGGCUAACUACGUG